rnacentral:lncRNA from 1 species
AGGCUUUCCUAUCUCAUCACCAACUCAGGGCAGUUUCUCCAGGAACCUGGCAGGCCCCGCCACAGGGAGACCCUGCUUCAAUUCGCCACGUCCAGGCCUUGCCUGGUGGCCACUCUCUGCAGCCCUCCCCAGGGGUCCCUGGCCCAGCUCCAGGCCUGCUCAAUGCCCUGUUCCUAACACUGACAUCUCACAGCGGGAGUCGUGGCUGCAGGGUGCCCUGGGCCUCCACCCUAGCUCCUGCUAUAGAAUGUCUCCAAU